rnacentral:lncRNA from 1 species
AGAAGAAGAUCUGUUUAACCCCUGCCAGGUGAUCAAGUGCAAGCACGGGAAGUGCAGGCUCUCUGGGCUCGGGCAGCCCUAUUGUGAAUGCAGCAGUGGAUUCACCGGGGACAGCUGUGACAGAGGUAAGCUAGGCACAGAGGAGAGGGCCAGCUUAUCCCUAGUGAAAAAGAGAGUGCAGAGCCAUGAAACACUUGACUUUGUGUGGCUUGUAGCUACUACUGAUGAUUUUCCAGUCUUGUGCAAAAACUGAGGUGCAAGGCAUUAAAGGCCCAUGGUAAGGUUUUUCGUGG